rnacentral:lncRNA from 1 species
AUGGUCCAUUUGGGUUGCAUGGCACCAUGCAAUUGGAUAGACUAAAUGAGAGAAAUAACAUUUGGAGAUUAUUAAUAUAUUAUAAGUUCUAAUAUAUUAAUAAUAUUAUUUGAUUAGUUUGAUCAAGAAUUAAUUUAGAAUUAAUUAAGUGAUCAAAAGAUAACUAAUUAAAUAUAUGGGUUGAUUAUGUAAAUCAUCCAUAUCUUGUAUAGUGGGCUAAGAGGCUCCAUGGAUUAACAAGUUGGGUUCCACCCAUAGGAUACUCCAUGGAUGCUCCAUGGGAGUUACAAACCCAUGGGUCAUGGAAAUGAAGAGUCAUGACACAUUAGGAUUUACAUGGUGUAACCCUAGAUGUGUCAACAAUAUAUAAGAAUCCCAUUCUACAACAAAAUUGGCUACACAUAUGAAACAAGAGGGCUAGGCCGAUUUUAAGAAGUGUGUAUUCUCUCAAAAGUCUUUCCAAGAGCAUUUGGUGUUGUGUGAAGCAUUUGAGGCAUCACACUUGGGGUGCUAGGCUCACAAGGUUUCAAGGAACACAAGCAACAACAAGGUAAGUUAUUCUAUCUAUGAUUCAAGUUAAAAUUGUUCCCCAUGUAUGCUAGAUAGGAAUAUAACCUUGGAAUUCAACUUUGCAUGAUAAUUAGACAAACAUAGAUCCAAGGUUAUUAGGGUUGCAUGUACACUUAGGAAGUGUUAGAAUGCUCAAAACCCAUCAGUGGUAUCAGAGCCUAGGCUUGUUUGUUUGUUAUUUGUGCUUAAAAGUUGAAAAAAGUCGAAAAACUUGUUGUCUGCCUGAUGAACUCUCUGAGUCCAUGGGGGGACUCGCCGAGUUCAAUUGAAUCUUCAACCUACUCGCCGAGUAGGUUCAUGCACUCGGCGAGUAGGAGCCACAGAGUGCAGAUUUUCGACUCUAGUUGCUGGAAAUGGACUAGAAACAUUACCCUAAACUGUUUUGGUACUUGAAAACUUGUUUUAGAUGGUGUAAUGUCUUUGCUAAUCCAUUUACAACAACUAGUUAUCAAAAUUACAAAGUUUUAAGUGUAAUUUUGAUUCAUGAAAGUGUUCAUGUUCAUGUUCUUGAUCUUAUGAUGUUUAGAUGAUCAUAGGAAUUAUUUGUAACCUAUGUGGUAGUUUAAUUCUUGAUCAUAAUGUGUUUUAAUGGAGUCCAUAACUUGUCCUCAAGUUAUGGAAAACCAAAAGUCACUUGAGUUAAAAANCAAAAGUCUCUUGAAUUAAAACAAUUAAAAGAACACAAGAAUUAGGAAAAAUGAAGAGUCUUCAUUUUUAUUACUCUAUUAAACUCAUAAGUUACAAGAAAUGAAAAGUUUUGAAAGUUUACAAAACUUGCCCUCAAGUUUUGGAACAAGUAAAGUCAAGUUAAAACUUUAGUUCCAACCCCUAGAAUUUUAAAAGUUAAAAUUCAACCCUUAUACUUAUAUUAUUAUGAUUUAAUAAUUAUAUAUAUAUGUAUAAGAACAAAGUCGUCUUACCGCUAGUACGCCUCAUUCACGAAGCCGGUCUAUAAGGUGGGUAUAAGGUUGUUGCCUAUAAAAUGGUGACUUAAUGGGUGUCCACUCUCACCCACCGCUUGCUUGAUCGGUGGAGGGUCGUUAGCCGAACGGGUAAGACAAGGACUUAUUAAUUCUCAUUCAAAGUAUGAUGAAUAUUAUAAAGUAACUAAAUGUUUUAUUAAAUUCCCAAUCUUAGUUACUUUAGGAAAAAUGUGAAUAAGGUGCUAUUCCAUGAAAUUACACUUUACACUUUGAUUAAGUCGUUGGUGGAGCGUGUGUGGUUAACCGGCACACUAACUUGGACUUAACAAGGUAGGUAAAGGGUGACUUAGGGUUUAUUAUAGUAUCGAUGGAGCGUGUGUGGUUAACCGGCACAUCGAUUGAGUGAUAAACUUUAAGGGUACCAAGUGAUUUGCAUGGUUACUUCACACCUCGUUUUGUGAUCCUCGGUAUCCCAGUCACAAAACUUGGAGGGCACACUCGAGAUUGAAACAUGCCUUUGAAAAGUUCAUUGAAUCUCAAAGAAUCUAGGAAUUUCUAAGAACCAUUCAAAAACCUAAUACUAAAAUAUUGCGGUUUUCGUGGUGGAAAUUGGUGAAUCGUCAUUCACCUACCUUUCAAAUAUGAUAUAGCUUAGAUUACGGCAUACCUCUUCUAAGUUAUAUUAUAUUGUGAUUGGAUCCUAGCCUUAAUAUUACAUUUGGGUGUUUUAUUAAGGACUCUCUUAUAUCUAAACUAAUCUUGUCCUCUUUCCUUCAGAUGUCUUUCAACAAUGCUUCUGGCUCUAAUCCUAAUGGCUCCUUUACCCUUAUGAACUUGUGUGGGAAAGUCACCUUUGAUGGAUCCAACUUCAAUGAGUGGAUCAGAAACAUCAGGAUGAUUACCCGCUACGAGGACAAAGAAUAUGUCCUUGACAAGGAGCUUAAGGAGAUUGAUGAGUCCACUGCAACUCCUCAGGAGAUCGCUGAAUUUCGGGCACAUGAAAGGGAUGCUACGAAAGUGGCUUGCAUCAUGAUGGCCACGAUGACAGCGGAACUCCAAAAGUCUUAUGAGGAUUUCUACCCUUAUGACAUGCACCAAGAUUUGAUGGAAAGAUACCAUCAAAGUGCAAGACAAGAGAGGUAUGAAAUCAUCUGCUCCAUGAUAACAACCAUGAUGAAGGACGGGGAAUCCGUCACGAGCCACAUGCAGAAAAUGCAAAGGUAUGUGGAUCGUUUGCUGAAGCUUAAUGUGAACUUCCCGGAGGAUCUUGCAAUAGAUAUUAUUUUGCAUUCCUUACCAUCGUGCUAUGAUCAAUUCCGCAUGACAUAUCACAUGAACAAGGAAGAAGUCACCCUCAGCAAACUUCAGGGACUUCUCAAGACCGCAGAAUCAGGUCUUAAGGGGAAGUCGGUUGCUAUCACUCCUACUCAAAACUCUACUCCGGUUUUGGCAAUCGGGAAAAGUCGAGGGAGGAAGAGAAAGAGCUCUUCUAAGGGUACCAAGGCUCGGACCCUUGAUGGCUCUUCUUCAAGUGGAACCAAGAAAGGUUUCAUUACUCCUUCUUCUGACCCAAAAGAGGCUGAAUGCUUCUAUUGCCAUGAAAAAGCUCAUUGGAAGCGGAACUGCCCAAAAUACCAGCAAGAUGUGAAGGAUGGGAAAGUUAAACCCAACCAUGCAGGUAUUUACACUAUCAUUUCUAAUAACUCACCCCAUUCUAAUUCUUGGGUCCUUGAUACCGGGUGUGGUAUUCACAUUUGUUGUGACUUGCAGGGACUAAGAAGAAGUGAGGAUGUGGAGCAAGGAAGGAUAAACUUGAUCAUGGGGAAUAGGAAAGCUAUACCUGUUACCAAGAUUGGAGUUUAUACUUUAUCGCUAAGUAGUGGGUUUAGUUUAGAUUUGAAUAAGUGUUGUUAUUCGCCAGGAAUGGCAAGAAAUAUUAUUUCCUUUCAUGCUUUGUACAAACAAGGGUUUACCUUUUCAUUUAAUAAUGAAGUUGGUUCUAUUGAUGCUUUCUUUAAUAAUGUUUUUUAUUUUAAAGCAUUACCUUGUGAUGGUGUGUAUGAAGCUGUAUCUGUUGUAGAUAACUUAGGAAAUAAUGUUUUGUGUAUUGAUUCUACUAAUAAUAAUAACUUGGAUAAAGCAUCAUUAUGGCAUUGUCGUCUUGGACAUAUAAGCAAGAAACGCAUAGGCCAACUCCAAAAGGAUGGAGUCUUGGAGUCAUUUGACCUAAAGUCAGAUGAUAGUUGCGAAUCAUGCUUACUUGGAAAAAUGACGAAGUCACCCUUCACAGGUUCUUGUGAGAGGGGUGAAGGUUUGUUGGACCUUGUACACAUGGAUGUGUGUGGACCAUUCAAACAUGCCACAAGGGAUGCUAAUCGUUAUUAUUUGACUUUUACUGAUGAUUACAGUAGAUAUGGAUAUGUCUACUUGAUCAAGCAUAAGUCAGAGACUUUCGAAAGGUUUAAGGAAUUUAAACAGGGAGUCGAGAAUCAAUUGGGCAGGAACAUUAAGAUGCUUCGAUCCGAUCGUGGUGGUGAGUAUCUUAGUUCAAAGUUCCUUGACUAUCUAAGGGAGUGUGGGAUUGUCUCACAAUUGACACCUCCCAGGACACCACAAUUGAAUGUUGUGGCUGAGAGGCGUAAUCGAACCUUGUUGGACAUGGUUCGUUCCAUGAUGAGUCGAGCAUCGCUACCAAUCUCAUUUUAGGGGUAUGCCUUAGAGACUGUGGCUCAUAUCCUUAAUCUAGUCCCUACAAAGAAACUUGCCAAAACUCCUCAUGAGAUGUGGACUGGUAAAGUACCUAAACAAGACCACAUCAAGAUUUGGGGUUGCGAGGCUUUCGUGAGACGCGAGACUCAUGAUAAGCUCAAACCUCGAAGCGAGAGGUGUAGUAUCAUUGGCUACCUACAGCAAUCCUUUGGUUACCUCUUUUACAGACCUAAUGAAAAUGUGGUCUUUGUAGCUAGGAGGGCCAUCUUUCGAGAGAGAGAGAGAGAGCUCAUAAGCCAAGGAAACAGUGGGAGGCAAAUUGAUCUUGAAGAAAUUCAAGAGUCAAGCGGUGAAGGAACUUCAAACCCUAGCACUCAACUUGAGGAGGAAACUCCUGUUGAGCCAAUUGACAAGUCUGUACCUCUUUGGCGUUCCAUGAGAGUUACGAAUGCACCUAAGCAUUACUAAGGAUUCCAUAUUACUGCAGAAGGUGAUAAAUUUUUCAGUGAUGGGACGCUGAUAGGUCUGGAUGAACCUAACAUUUACGCGUAAGCCAUGGCAGGCCCUGAGUCAGCAAAGUGGAAAGAGGCAAUGGAUAGCGAGAUACAAUCCAUGUACGACAGUCAAGUUUGGAACUUGGUUAAGAAUGUACCAGGUCGUAAGACUGUAGGGUGCAAAUGGAUCUUCAAGAAGAAGACCGACAUGGAUGGUAAUUUACACACUUAUAAGCCUAGACUGGUUGCAAAGGGCUUCUCUCAAAUUCCUGGAGUGGAUUAUGAUGAGACCUUUUCUCCAGUAUCCAAGAUUAAGUCUAUUAUGGUUAUGUUAGCCAUAGCUACAUUUCAUGACUAUGAAAUUUAGCAAAUGGAUGUAAAAACUGCUUUCCUUAAUGGAAAGUUGGCUGAAGAUGUUUACAUGAGUCAGCCAGAAGGUUUUUUUAGCAAUGAGUACCCUAAUAGAGUGUGUAAGCUUGAGAAAUCCAUUUAUAGAUUGAAGCAAGCAACUCGCAGAUGGAAUCUUUGCUUUGAUGAAAAGGUCAAGGAAUUUGGCUUUUCUAGGAGUGAAGAUGAAUCUUGUGUGUAUGUCAAGGCUAGUGGGAGUAUAGUUAGCUUUUUGGUAUUGUAUGUGGAUGACAUACUACUCAUAGGAAACGACAUUCCAACUCUGCAGGAAGUAAAGUCCUGGCUUGGGAAGUGUUUCGCUAUGAAGGACCUUGGUGAAGCUGCCUAUAUUCUAGGGAUAAGAAUCUUGAGAGAUCGGAGUAAAAGACUAAUUGGACUUAGUCAGAGUACCUACUUGGAUAAGGUGCUGAAGAGAUUCAGCAUGCAGGAUUCCAAGAAAGGAGAGUUACCCAUCCAGAGUAACACCAGAUUGAGUAAGACACAAAGCCCUAGCACUGAGGCUGAGAUAGCAGAAAUGAGUCGAACACCUUACGCUUCGGCUGUAGGAUCGAUCAUGUAUGCUAUGACGUGUACUCGACCCGAUGUAGCUUUUGCCUUGAGCAUGGUUAGCAGGUAUCAGGCGAACCCUGGCAAGGCACACUGGACUGCGGUAAAGAAUAUCCUCAAGUACCUACGGAGGACUAAGGACUGGGUCCUUACCCUCGGUGGGAGUGAUGACUUGAGAGUUGUAGGGUAUAGUGAUGCUAGCUUCCAGACUGAUAGGGAUAAUUUCCGCUCUCAGUCGGGCUGGGUCUUUACCCUAAACGGAGGAGCAAUUUCUUGGAAGAGUUCCAAGCAAGAGACAGUGGCAGAUUCUACUUGUGAAUCAGAGUAUAUUGCAGCUAGUGAAGCAGCAAAGGAGGCGAUAUGGCUGAAGAACUUCAUUGGAGACCUUGGAGUUGUACCAGCUAUUAAAGAGCCAAUGGAAAUUUUCUGUGAUAGUGAAAGUGUUGUAGCCUUAGCCAAGGAACCUAGGGAUCACGAGAGAUCCAGACACAUCGACAGAAAAUAACAUUUUAUCAGACAUCGGAUAGAAGAAGGACUCCUCGUGGCAAAGAGGGUAUCAUCGGAUGAGAACCUAGCAGAUCCCCUCACGAAGGGACUGACUCGGGUUAAGCAUCUUCAGCAUGCUCGGAGCACAGGGCUGAAGGAUGAUACUAGAUUUAGUAGUUAGAUAACCUCGAAAUUUGUAAAGUGUAAUUGACAUUAGAUGAUGAAUAAAAGGUGUUUUAUUUAUGAGUAAAGUGUUGCUAUCUCUUGUCGAUCGUUUACUAUAUUUCUUUUGCAUGUUUUGACUUCCAGAAUAAUUUUGUUUGGUAUAACAUAUUAUUCAAACCUCCACAGUCGGUCAUAUGUUGGAAGUAGAUAUGAAUCAAGACUGUCAUGUUUGGUUGUAGAGGUCUUGGACAAGGCUACAACAAUCAUGAGUGCUCAUAAGUUCUGAGCAUUGGACUCAACCCACGCUCACUGGAAUCACUUCAUGGAAUUCUAUCUCGAGUGAUCGUGAGAUGGUAAUAUCAUAUAUGUCUUCAAACCAAGAUAUAUGAUUUGUUACUUACAAGUUGCUUAUGCAUUGAUUAUACGAAAACGCAUUGGUAACUCGAUGUUAUAAAACGUGCUUUUGUGUAUAAUUCAAUGAGUGGUAGAACAAACAUAUGAGUCGAAGUUUAUAUGUUCCUUCAUAGAUUAGAAGCUGAUAUCUGGGCCCAUCGAUGAUUUUGUUUUGACCUAUGUACCGGGCCCGAUCAGAACUAAGUUGAUGUGUUCAAUUAAGUUCUAUGUCAAACAAAUCGGAAAUCGGGAAACAAAUGCUGGACAAUAAGUAAGACAUUGUUCCAUGUAUUUGUCCGGCUGAUAUCUAGAACAGAGGAUUAUAUGAUCACUUAUCUUAAAUGGCGUACCAUCAUCUUCUCAGUUCCGAGAAACCUUGAAAGAGCUACGAUUGCCGGUCGGUUCCUGAAGUACUAGAGAUAUAGUUAUUAGACUUAUCCAAGUGGGAGACUGUUGGAUAAGGUGUCUAAGUCCAUAACUAUUUCGGGCUUGUACUUGACCCGACCCGGCAUGGUCCAUUUGGGUUGCAUGGCACCAUGCAAUUGGAUAGACUAAAUGAGAGAAAUAACAUUUGGAGAUUAUUAAUAUAUUAUAAGUUCUAAUAUAUUAAUAAUAUUAUUUGAUUAGUUUGAACAAGAAUUAAUUUAGAAUUAAUUAAGUGAUCAAAAGAUAACUAAUUAAAUAUAUGGGUUGAUUAUGUAAAUCAUCCAUAUCUUGUAUAGUGGGAUAAGAGGCUCCAUGGAUUAACAAGUUGGGUUCCACCCAUAGGAUACUCCAUGGAUGCUCCAUGGGAGUUACAAACCCAUGGGUCAUGGAAAUGAAGAGUCAUGACACAUUAGGGUUUACAUGGUAUAACCCUAGAUGUGUCAACAAUAUAUAAGAAUCCCAUUCUACACCAAAAUUGGCUACACAUAUGAAACAACAGGGCUAGGCCGAUUUUAAGAAGUGUGCAUUCUCUCAAAAGUCUUUCG